rnacentral:rRNA from 1 species
AACGCGAAGAACCUUACCAAGGCUUGACAUCGCCGGGAAAGCUUUAGAGAUAGAGCCCCUUUUAGUCCGGUGACAGGUGGUGCAUGGCUGUCGUCAGCUCGUGUCGUGAGAUGUUGGGUUAAGUCCCGCAACGAGCGCAACCCUUGUCCUGUGUUGCCAGCAUGCCCUUCGGGGUGAUGGGGACUCACGGGAGACUGCCGGGGUCAACUCGGAGGAAGGUGGGGACGACGUCAAGUCAUCAUGCCCCUUAUGUCUUGGGCUGCACACGUGCUACAAUGGCCGGUACAAUGAGCUGCGAUACCGCGAGGUGGAGCGAAUCUCAAAAAGCCGGUCUCAGUUCGGAUUGGGGUCUGCAACUCGACCCCAUGAAGUCGGAGUCUCUAGUAAUCGCAGAUCAGCAUUGCUGCGGUGAAUACGUUCCCGGGCCUUGUACACACCGUAGUAC